GGUGGUGGAUUUGGAGGAGGUUUAGGCGGAGGAGGAGGAGGAUUCAAAAGGUUCAGAAAAGGUGGUGGAGGAUAUCGACGUGGAGGUAGAGGUGGCUAUUGUGGAUCUUGUGGUCAUGGCUGAUAACAGUGAAUCGUCAGAGAAGCUAAACUCGGAUAUCUCUAUAGGAUCAACGUGUGUUUUUCUGUUUAAAUAUCAAAUAUGUUUUGCACCCUUAGAAUUUACUUAAUGAUUUGUUGUUAUUUUAAUUUUACAAAUAACUGAAGAAGUUUCAAUAAAUAUAUGAGAAGUUUAUCAAAA